rnacentral:rRNA from 1 species
AGACCCGAAACCCGGUGAUCUAGCCAUGGGCAGGUUGAAGGUUGGGUAACACUAACUGGAGGACCGAACCGACUAAUGUUGAAAAAUUAGCGGAUGACCUGUGGCUGGGGGUGAAAGGCCAAUCAAACCGGGAGAUAGCUGGUUCUCCCCGAAAGCUAUUUAGGUAGCGCCUCGUGAAUUCAUCUCCGGGGGUAGAGCACUGUUUCGGCUAGGGGGCCAUCCCGGCUUACCAACCCGAUGCAAACUGCGAAUACCGGAGAAUGUUAUCACGGGAGACACACGGCGGGUGCUAACGUCCGUCGUGAAGAGGGAAACAACCCAGACCGCCAGCUAAGGUCCCAAAGUCAUGGUUAAGUGGGAAACGAUGUGGGAAGGCCCAGACAGCCAGGAUGUUGGCUUAGAAGCAGCCAUCAUUUAAAGAAAGCGUAAUAGCUCACUGGUCGAGUCGGCCUGCGCGGAAGAUGUAACGGGGCUAAACCAUGCACCGAAGCUGCGGCAGCGAACGUAUCACCCAAGACAACUUUACGGAGUUGACGAUUGACGGAGCGAAGCGACGUCAAAGCGUUCAUUAAAGUCGAGUUGGCUUAGGGAUACGUUCGUUGGGUAGGGGAGCGUUCUGUAAGCCUGUGAAGGUGUGUCGUGAGGCAUGCUGGAGGUAUCAGAAGUGCGAAUGCUGACAUAAGUAACGAUAAAGCGGGUGAAAAGCCCGCUCGCCGGAAGACCAAGGGUUCCUGUCCAACGUUAAUCGGGGCAGGGUGAGUCGACCCCUAAGGCGAGGCCGAAAGGCGUAGUCGAUGGGAAACGGGUUAAUAUUCCCGUACUUGGUGUUACUGCGAAGGGGGGACGGAGAAGGCUAUGUUGGCCGGGCGACGGUUGUCCCGGUUUAAGCGUGUAGGUGUGUGUUCCAGGUAAAUCCGGUUCACUUUAACACUGAGGCGUGACGACGAGGCACUACGGUGCUGAAGCAACAAAUGCCCUGCUUCCAGGAAAAGCCUCUAAGCAUCAGGUAACACGAAAUCGUACCCCAAACCGACACAGGUGGUCAGGUAGAGAAUACCAAGGCGCUUGAGAGAACUCGGGUGAAGGAACUAGGCAAAAUGGUGCCGUAACUUCGGGAGAAGGCACGCUGACACGUAGGUGAAGUGAUUUACUCAUGGAGCUGAAGUCAGUCGAAGAUACCAGCUGGCUGCAACUGUUUAUUAAAAACACAGCACUGUGCAAACACGAAAGUGGACGUAUACGGUGUGACGCCUGCCCGGUGCCGGAAGGUUAAUUGAUGGGGUCAGCGCAAGCGAAGCUCCUGAUCGAAGCCCCGGUAAACGGCGGCCGUAACUAUAACGGUCCUAAGGUAGCGAAAUUCCUUGUCGGGUAAGUUCCGACCUGCACGAAUGGCGUAAUGAUGGCCAGGCUGUCUCCACCCGAGACUCAGUGAAAUUGAACUCGCUGUGAAGAUGCAGUGUACCCGCGGCAAGACGGAAAGACCCCGUGAACCUUUACUAUAGCUUGACACUGAACAUUGAGCCUUGAUGUGUAGGAUAGGUGGGAGGCUUUGAAGUGUGGACGCCAGUCUGCAUGGAGCCGACCUUGAAAUACCACCCUUUAAUGUUUGAUGUUCUAACGUGGACCCGUUACCCGGGUUGCGGACAGUGUCUGGUGGGUAGUUUGACUGGGGCGGUCUCCUCCUAAAGAGUAACGGAGGAGCACGAAGGUUGGCUAAUCCUGGUCGGACAUCAGGAGGUUAGUGCAAUGGCAUAAGCCAGCUUGACUGCGAGCGUGACGGCGCGAGCAGGUGCGAAAGCAGGUCAUAGUGAUCCGGUGGUUCUGAAUGGAAGGGCCAUCGCUCAACGGAUAAAAGGUACUCCGGGGAUAACAGGCUGAUACCGCCCAAGAGUUCAUAUCGACGGCGGUGUUUGGCACCUCGAUGUCGGCUCAUCACAUCCUGGGGCUGAAGUAGGUCCCAAGGGUAUGGCUGUUCGCCAUUUAAAGUGGUACGCGAGCUGGGUUUAGAACGUCGUGAGACAGUUCGGUCCCUAUCUGCCGUGGGCGCUGGAGAACUGAGGGGGGCUGCUCCUAGUACGAGAGGACCGGAGUGGACGCAUCACUGGUGUUCGGGUUGUCAUGCCAAUGGCACUGCCCGGUAGCUAAAUGCGGAAGAGAUAAGUGCUGAAAGCAUCUAAGCACGAAACUUGCCCCGAGAUGAGUUCUCCCUGAGACUUAGAGUCUCCUGAAGGAACGUUGAAGACGACGACGUUGAUAGGCCGGGUGUGUAAGCGCAGCGAUGCGUUGAGCUAACCGGUACUAAUGAACCGUGAGGCUUAACCUUACA